rnacentral:tRNA from 1 species
GGGCUGGGGCUCAAUGGUACAGCACUUGCCUAGCAUGUGGGAGGCACUGGGUUCAAACCUCAGCACCACA